rnacentral:rRNA from 1 species
UAAUACGUAGGGGGCGAGCGUUAUCCGGAUUCAUUGGGCGUAAAGCGCGCGUAGGCGGCCCGGCAGGCCGGGGGUCGAAGCGGGGGGCUCAACCCCCCGAAGCCCCCGGAACCUCCGCGGCUUGGGUCCGGUAGGGGAGGGUGGAACACCCGGUGUAGCGGUGGAAUGCGCAGAUAUCGGGUGGAACACCGGUGGCGAAGGCGGCCCUCUGGGCCGAGACCGACGCUGAGGCGCGAAAGCUGGGGGAGCGAACAGG